rnacentral:rRNA from 1 species
GAUUUCUGGUCUGGCGCAUUUGGCCCGCCACGCUACGUGGUUGUGUGCCGGUAUGCGCCUACCAUCCUUCCAGCCCUUACUAUUACUUCCCUUUACUGGGUUUGUAGUAGUGAACUGGAUCAUUUACUUUGAAAAAAUUAGAGUGUUUAAAGCAGGCUUGUGCUAUGAAUACAUUAGCAUGGAAUAAUAAUUUAGGACUUUGGUCUUAUUUUGUUGGUUUCUAGGACUAAAGUAAUGAUUGAUAGGGACAGUUGGGGGUGCUAGUAUUCAGCGGCCAGAGGUGAAAUUCUUGGAUUCGCUGAAGACUAACUUAUGCGAAAGCAUU